CCAGAUAGUCGGAUCAUUGCCGGUAUAAGUUAUAUUAUACGGGAGGAAAGUCCGGGCUCCUAGAAAGCACAGUGCCGGGUAACGCCCGGCGAGGGUAACCUCAGGGAAAGUGCCACAGAGAAUAUACCGCCUGCGUAUUACAAAUACGUCGGUAAGGGUGAAAAGGUGCGGUAAGAGCGCACCGCUAUUAUGGUAACAUGAUAGGCAGGGUAAACCCCACUGGGAGCAAGACCAAAUAGGAAUAGCGAGUUUUAUAUUAACUUAUAAAACUAAGAGUUGCUUUCUCUUUUUAUGCUAUUCGGGUAGGUCGCUUGAGGUGAUAGGUAACUAUCAUCCUAGAUAAAUAGUGAUCAUUAGCGCUUGCGCUAAGACAGAACCCGGCUUAUAGACUAUCUGGAUUC
rnacentral:RNase_P_RNA from 1 species